AUGAUUCCAAUUGGCAGGAUGCCUGGAGGGCCAGUCCCAACCACAGGGAGUUUUGGCCUAUUACUCCCCUGCUCAAGAGGCUUCUGGAGCUCCCCAUCACCCAGGAUGGAAUGGAAUUUGGCUUCUGAAGGCCCAACUGACCUACAGUCCAGCCAAAUGAAACUAGUCCCUUUACCUCCCCUCAGAAGCCCCCACUUCCUUCAUGUCACUUCCUACAGGAAGCCUGCCUUGGUCUCUCUACUCUCCCUGGAACCCUUUUCCAAGGCUGUGUCAUCCCUCCUUUCUGUAUUUUACCACUCAUCUGGGUGGACCUGGCCAUUUUCCCCAACGCAAGCCCCCCUCUUCUUUGUAUCCCUGCCAAGGAGAAGCGUGGCACACACUAGGUGCCAGCAAAAUGCCAGCCGGUUGGGGAAUGGCCCGUCUCCAUGUGCUCUGCCCCCUUCCUCAGGUGUUCUUCCCAGCAGGGUCCCCACCUGCCCCUCCUCAGCGAGCCUUUGCUACUGGCCCUUCCAGGCUCGAUUUGGGCUGCCCUUGCAUGUUUACCCAGAAGCCUCUGCUUGGCCAGCCACCUGGUGGCCAACAGGAGCAGCUCCCCUGGAGCAUGGAGGGAAGGCUCAUGGCGGGCAGGACAGGCACCUGGAGGCGAGGCCAUGGGGGGGGGGGGGGGGCAGCCCUGGCACUUCUGAUACCAGACUUGAGAGCAGGAAGGGGCUGGGCCAGGCCCUGCUCAUCCCUCCCCCUGUGGGGCAGCCAAGCCAGCAGGGCCCCCUCACGGCUGACCCCCCUUCCUCCACCACACCCCAUAUCACUGCCCCGAGUGAGGCUCUGGCAGUCCAGACUGCUGAAGCCAAGGCUGCGGCCUUGCCAGACCUCCAGGCAGGAACCCCAUCCCGGCCCGGACUGCAGAGCCAGCACACCGGGAAGGCUCCCUGCGGCUCUCCCAUAGACUCCUCCCCUCCCAGAAGCCCUCCAGGUUCCUUCUGUGGGCACUGGUUGGGACGCCUUCCUGAGCCCGAGGCUCCCCAGAAUGUUCUCUGGGCUCACUGGUGGCCUCGGAGAAUCCCUGGGAGUCCGGGGAGAAGCCGGACUCAAGCCUGCCCCACCCCCACCCCCACCCUAUGUCCAUAG
rnacentral:lncRNA from 1 species